rnacentral:rRNA from 1 species
CCUACGGGUGGCUGCAGUGGGGAAUAUUGCACAAUGGGCGCAAGCCUGAUGCAGCCAUGCCGCGUGUGUGAAGAAGGCCUUCGGGUUGUAAAGCACUUUCAGCGGGGAGGAAGGCGGUGAGGUUAAUAACCUCAUCGAUUGACGUUACCCGCAGAAGAAGCACCGGCUAACUCCGUGCCAGCAGCCGCGGUAAUACGGAGGGUGCAAGCGUUAAUCGGAAUUACUGGGCGUAAAGCGCACGCAGGCGGUCUGUCAAGUCGGAUGUGAAAUCCCCGGGCUCAACCUGGGAACUGCAUUCGAAACUGGCAGGCUAGAGUCUUGUAGAGGGGGGUAGAAUUCCAGGUGUAGCGGUGAAAUGCGUAGAGAUCUGGAGGAAUACCGGUGGCGAAGGCGGCCCCCUGGACAAAGACUGACGCUCAGGCGCGAAAGCGUGGGGAGCAAACAGGAUUAGAUACCCCUGUAGUC